rfam:Rubellimicrobium thermophilum DSM 16684 genomic scaffold R1_scaffold2, whole genome shotgun sequence.
CGGCGGGACAUCCCCCCCCAACGGGGGACGCUUAUCUGGAAGGAUAUCAUGA